ACAUUUCUAACCAUCUGGGGGAGAACAAUCCAUUCUCCCAACCUAUCUCAUACACCAACACUUUCUCUUACACGUAUAGUCCAACAAAAUACAAUCCUUCUCUCACCCAACAUAGCCACCCCAUCAAAAUCACCUUACCAUUCAUGCAUCAUUAACAAUAUCUAUACAAGUCAUGAAUCAAUUGAAAGAUACAUCACGAUAACCAAACCUCAACUUUUUUUACAAAAUCACAAACCUUCCAUCAUAUAUUUAUCACCAUCAAACCUUACUCUUCAAAACAAAACCACACAAUAUUCGUCAAUAUCAUAACAAUAUCACCAAAUUUUUUUCACAAAACUCUCUUCCAUAUGAAUCUUCCUUCACCAUUAACAACUACACAACCUUCAAACACCAUAACCAAUCCAAAUUUAUUUAUGACAACAUAUUAACAUAACCUUAACUCCAAACAUUCACAACGCAAAAUUUAUAGCAAGCAUAAUAACAUCAACCCAUAUAACAUCCCAUAACAACCACCAAUUUGAAAUAAGGGGAAAAAAGAGAAGAAAAUAAUUGUUUCGGAACUUUCAUCAAGCACCUUAUGAACAACCUUAUGAGCAAAGAGAUCUCUUAGAUUUGAAACUCAUUCUCAUGACCAAUAACACAACCAAAAACAGUGAGAUAGAAAAAUAAAAAGCAACGAUGGUUCCAUAGGAAAGUAGGAAAGGCAGCUUGAAACAGUGUCUCAACACAUCAGCGCCGCCAUGAAACGGAUACACCCCAGCCGCCACAGGAGCAGCCCCACGUACGUCACCACCUGCAAAGUCGUCGCCGUAAAAGCCCUCUGGCCUCCCUCUAGCCACACCGGUCCUCGACGGACCGUACAACUAGCAUGAUGGAAAUGCACGCCCUAUCCGAUGUUGUUUCGACCUUCGUCUUUCGAUAGAGGACAUUCGUGUCGGAUGAAUAAUGAAGCUUGGAGCGUUUGGAUGAAAGACACACCCCUCUACUUACUCUUCUGGAAACCCAUGAAAGUUGAUGCUACUGAUCCGAACACUCGGACGCGACUCUUUGUCACUGGACUUCUUAGGAAUAAUCUAUAACCGAAGUGAAGACGGACCUACAUCACACUGAGAGGUAUCUUGGAAGCCUGCAAGUUAUACCAAACAUGGUGAGGACUACAAAAAGUCAAACACUUGUAAUCACGAGAGCUUUCCAGUUCUAUUGGUUUUAGGUGUAAACAAGAAUACCAGAGGGAUAGACAAGCAAAUCGGACAUUUUGGGCCCGUCGGAAGAGGAAAUUGGGCAACACAGUAGUCCUAACACAGCCACCCGUGUUGCCCAACACGGGCCGUGUCAGGAGAGGACAACUAGAAGGAGAAAACAAGGAGCUGACAUGGGUGUCCGUGUCAGCUGACACGGCCCGUGUUAGCCUCCUUAGAGGGGCGUGUCAAGGCUUUUUCAUCAGAAGUCCAACACGGUCUGUCGUGUUGCCUAACACGACCAGUGUUGGCUUGGACACCUCAUUUUCCAGUUUUUGCUGUAUUUUGACGCGGCUGAUCCCAGUGGGCAUUUUGGACUUUUGCUACAUCAAAUUUGUCAUCAGGAACUAUUUAGGGGAUUUUUGAAUACAGAGAAGGGACCUUUUUCACGAUCACAAAUUGGAGACGAUAAAGAUUGAAACGGUCAAAAGCGGCGAAGAACGGAGAUCUUUCAAGAGCGGAUGCAAUUGAAGAUCAACGGAAUUCCCAUUCUUUUGUAAUGUCUUGUUUUUAUUUUGUAUCUUAUUUGAAUAAUAUGAGAGGCUAAACCCCCUAAUGCCAGGGGGUGUCCCUGAAUUGAUCGUGUAAUGACUCUGAAGUUUUAAUGUCCUUAAUACAUGUUAUUUGU